rnacentral:rRNA from 1 species
GAAGUAAAAGUCGUAACAAGGUUUCCGUAGGUGAACCUGCGGAAGGAUCAUUACCUAGAGUUUGUAGACUUCGGUCUGCUACCUCUUACCCAUGUCUUUUGAGUACCUUCGUUUCCUCGGCGGGUCCGCCCGCCGAUUGGACAACAUUCAAACCCUUUGCAGUUGCAAUCAGCGUCUGAAAAAACAUAAUAGUUACAACUUUCAACAACGGAUCUCUUGGUUCUGGCAUCGAUGAAGAACGCAGCGAAAUGCGAUAAGUAGUGUGAAUUGCAGAAUUCAGUGAAUCAUCGAAUCUUUGAACGCACAUUGCGCCCCUUGGUAUUCCAUGGGGCAUGCCUGUUCGAGCGUCAUUUGUACCUUCAAGCUCUGCUUGGUGUUGGGUGUUUGUCUCGCCUCUGCGUGUAGACUCGCCUUAAAACAAUUGGCAGCCGGCGUAUUGAUUUCGGAGCGCAGUACAUCUCGCGCUUUGCACUCAUAACGACGACGUCCAAAAGUACAUUUUUACACUCUUGACCUCGGAUCAGGUAGGGAUACCCGCUGAACUUAAGCAUA